rnacentral:rRNA from 1 species
AGUGAACGCUGGCGGUAGGCCUAACACAUGCAAGUCGAACGGCAGCACAGUAAGAGCUGGCGCUUACGUGUGUCGAGUGGCGGACGGUGGAGGAAUACAUCGGAAUCUACUUUUUCGGGGGGGAUAACGUAGGGAAACUUACUCUAAUACCGCAUACAACCUACGGGUGAAAGCAGGGGAUCGUCUGACCUGUCGCGAGGGUAUGAGCCGAUGUCGGAUUAGCUAGAUAGCGGGUUAAAGGCCCACCAAGGCGACGAUCGGUAUCUGGUCUGAGAGGAAGAUACGACACCCUGGAACUGAGACACGGUCCAGACUCCUACGGGAGGCAGCAGUGGGGAAUAUUGGAGAAGGGGGGAAAGCCUGAUACAGCAAUACCGCGUGGGUGAAGAAGCACUUCGGGUUGUAAAGCCAUUUUGUUGGGAAAGAAAAGAAGCAGGUUAACCCCCCGUUGUUCUGACGGUACCCAAAGAAUAAGCACCGGCUAACUUCGUG